UUUCCUUUUCCUUUUCCUUUUCCUUUUCCUUUUUCCUUCAACGUUCAGAUCGAAAACCCUUGGGUAGAAGUACGGUAGUUGUAGCUGUUGUUGCAUAGUACUUUAACAUCAGCUUUGUCAUGGUUGCGCAGUUGUCUUCUAUGCGGUUUCAUUUCACUUUUGCGAUGUAAAUAGAAGAAGAGGAAGAA
rnacentral:ribozyme from 1 species